CCAACUCCACACAAUUUGGAUGUCGAGCUCGAUGGAUCUUGUUACCCCUCCUCCUCCUCCUCCUCCCGAGGGACGUCGGCCGUCGGCAUUGGUAAAUGGUUGGGGUAUUCCGGGGAGAUCUUGGUGUUGUUUGAGACGCCCUCUGGCUUUGCAAUAUUCUGUUACAAUGGGGCCAAACUCUUCCUCCCAAAUGCCAUACAG